rnacentral:lncRNA from 1 species
CUUGGAUAUUCUAUCAUUAGCAAAUAUGCCAUAAUAACAAAGACAAAUAUUCAAAACAAGACGUGACCGAAUUAUAUAUACCUAUGUUUAUUCUCUCACGUCUUCUCCAAAUCAAUCAAAGAAAGGUCGAAAGAGAAAAUCAAAUAGAAAUACUAAUUAAAGUAUCAUUGCUCACGUAUCUUCAUUUGCAGCUUCUUGUAUAAUACGUUUUCUUCACUGUUUUAAUCUCUCUCUGCAUGUACUGAGUAAGAAUAGAAAUGAAACAAAUAAUUUAUUAUCGUGAUUUUCGAUAACCAAACAACUAAAAUAGACCAGAGGGGUACGUAACGUAGUAGUUUUUUCUUCUUCUAGUUUGUUCAAAUGUAAUUUGUUUGUUAUAUUCAUUAACUUGACAAAAAAAAGAAUCGUGUCACUAAAUUGUGCCAUAUAUAUGUUUGUUCUCAUUUCAAAGGCUUUAUACAUUUGAAAACUUAACAACAAUCAUCUUUACAACUUCGUUUGAAACUUGUCUGUUUUUCUAUAUAAGUAAAUUAUCUCACAUUUAUAUUUUUUCAAGUGUGAUUUCUUCGUAUUUGUUGAAAUUUUUAGCAUCACUCAAUCUUUAGAUUUUAUUUUAAAUCGGCGAUUUUGUAGAUGGAGAAAGUAGUGCACGUACCAGAAGUUGUACUAAACUCAGGCUACAAAAUGCCUUUGUUAGGCAUGGGAACUGCAGCGUGUCCCAUGCCGAUAGAUGAUUUAACAUCUAUUUUGGU